ensembl:lncRNA novel transcript
GACAAAUUGCUGGAGGCUCAGUGUGGACAAAUCUGAGAGUUAAAAACUCUGGGAGUUCAGAAGUUCUGAGGGUCUUGUGGUUUUUUCUCAUCAUCAUCCUCCCCUGGUUCUUCUGUUUCAUUUGAAGAGGAGAUGAUAUGAUUGAAUGGAACACAAGGAAGUAAAGUGAUCUUCCUCGUUUGUUUUUCAAAAAGCUGAUGCCUCAGAGGAAAAAGAAAGCAAAGCCCUGUACCCUGACUCGAGCUGAGUCUCAGGGGGGCAGCCAGAUGCCAGAGAGAAAAUGACUAUAUAGGUUACCUAGACCAACAAGAGCACAGACAGCCUGUCAGAGACCUCCAUGCUUUAACCUGGCUCACAAGUAGAGCCACCAGAACCAAAGUAGCUGUGGUGACAGAGACAGAGACAGUCUUCAUGAACAGAUGACCAAGAACCAGACAAGAAGUGGAUACUCCAGAGGACACCUGCAGAGGCAAGACAUCAGGGACCACAGCGCUGCCCACCCCCUCUCAUAUGGUCCCCAUGUAAGCCCCUGGAACUGGGUACCAUCCCAAAGGUAAUAGCAAC